rnacentral:rRNA from 1 species
GUGGUCAAGCUAAUUAGGGCUAAUGGUGGAUACCUAGGCACGCAGAGGCGAUGAAGGACGUGGCUACCGACGAAACGUUCCGGGGAGCUGGAAGCAAGCGAUGAGCCGGAAAUGUCCGAAUAGGGCAACCUUGAAUACAACCUACUGAAUAUAUAGGUAGGAAUGAGCGAACCAGGCGAACUGAAACAUCUCAGUAGCCAGAGGAAAAGAAAACAAAAGUGAUUCCCUAAGUAGUGGUGAGCGAACGGGGAGAAGCCUAAACCAUAUUGCUUGCAAUAUGGGGUAGUGGGACAGUGACAUGGACUCCAUAGAUUAGAUGAAGCAGCGAAAUACUGCACCAGAGAAGGUGAAAGUCCUGUAGUCGAAAAUUGAUUGGAUACUAACUGAAUCCCGAGUAGCUAGGGGCACGUGAAAUCCCUAGUGAAUCAGCGAGGACCAUCUCGUAAGGCUAAAUACUACUGCGUGACCGAUAGCGAAAAGUACCGCGAGGGAAAGGUGAAAAGAACCCCGGAAGGGGAGUGAAAUAGAACAUGAAACCAUUAGCCUACAAGCAGUUGAAGCACGAUUAAACGUGUGACAGCGUGCCUGUUGAAGAAUGAGCCGGCGACUUAUAGGUACUGGUAGGUUAAGGCGGGAAUGCCGGAGCCAAAGGGAAACCGAGUCUGAAUAGGGCGUUAAUCAGUAUUUAUAGACCCGAACCCGGGUGAUCUAACCAUGUCCAGGAUGAAGCUUGGGUAACACCAAGUGGAGGUCCGAACCGACUGAUGUUGAAAAAUCAGCGGAUGAGGUGUGGUUAGGGGUGAAAUGCCAA